UACGUAGGGGGCAAGCGUUGUCCGGAAUCAUUGGGCGUAAAGCGCGUGUAGGCAGCUCGGUAAGUCUGCUGUGAAAGUCCAGGGCUCAACCCUGGGAUGCCGGUGGAUACUGUCGAGCUCGAGUCCGGAAGAGGCGAGUGGAAUUCCUGGUGUAGCGGUGAAAUGCGCAGAUAUCAGGAGGAACACCGAUGGCGAAGGCAGCUCGCUGGGACGUGACUGACGCUGAGACGCGAAAGCGUGGGGAGCAAACAGG
rnacentral:rRNA from 1 species